ACUCUUCCUUCCUUUUUGCGAAGAAAUAUCAAAAAUUAUACAAUUAUGAAAUUAUACGUAAAUCCAUAUAAUCCACAUAAACGAUCAGAAGCGCAUUUAGAAACUUUCUUCUUUUCUUUUUAAAGAAAGAUUUAAUUCAAUAAUUGAACCAAGAUCCCGUUUUCGAUGAUUGAAAAAAAAUCUUGAAAUCGAUCGAUAAACUGUCGAAAUAUAUUCUGCGCUACUCGAAACUCUUCCUUCCUUGCGAAAGCAUAUUAAAAAUUAUACAUAUCGUUUGUAUAAAUCCAUAUAAUCCAACCGAGGGACGUGUUUAGAAGCUUUCUUCUUUUCUCUUUAAAGAAAGAUUCAAUUCAAUAAUUGAAACAAGAUUUCUUUCGACGAUUAAAAAAAAAUCUUGAAAUCGAUCGACAAACUGUCGAAAUAUACUCUGCGCUACUCAAAACUCUUCCUUCCUUGCGAAGGCAUAUUAAAAAUUAUACAUAUCGUUUGUAUAAAUCCAUAUAAUCCAACCGUGAGCGCGUUUAGAAGCUUCCUUCUUUUUUUUUUCGAAAAAAGAUCCGGAAGGAAGGAUCCAAUCCAAUAAUCGAACCAAGAUUUCGACGAAAAUUGAAAAAAAAAAAAUUGCGGAGGGAAUCUUGAAAUCGGCCGACACCCAAACUGUCGAAAUAUACUAGCUCUGCCGGACGCGAUAUUACUCGCGAUAUAUAGACGCGCAGAUAUAGGAUGGGAUGGAAUCGAGCCGCCGAAAAUUCACCGAUGCCCGCGUUCCGUCCAACGCGGUACACAGGAGCCGAAGCACCUGAUCCGUAUCAUGCAAUUACGGUGGAUGCAGUUUCGCUGUUGACUCGGGCUCCCUCUAUUAUUUGCCGGGGACCGGUCGCCGGGAGAGAGAGGGGAGGAAUUAAUUCGUUGUUAAAUACUACUUACAUUGUUAUUGACUCUAUAAUUGAUCGAUUAACGGCGAGCACGUUCAUCUACUGACGAACGAAGUGGAGAGACGCGUGGAAAUAAUUAUUAUUUGCCGCUCGUAUCGAGAUAUUCUCGUCCGAUGAUUAUUCGGCACGGACGGUAUAUUUUUGUUAAUCAAUGCGGCCGUACAUGUAUAUCGGGCGCGAUCCGAGUGCAAAAUGUUAAUUGGGUUGGCUUGGUAAUUAGCAAAAUCUGUAUACAUAUACAUAGAUAUAGAUAUUGUAUCGAAUAAAAAAAUUAUCGCAUAAUUGUUCGCGAAUUAUUUGCCCACCGUAUUUUCGCGUGUCGAUAUUAUGUAACAUUGGUGUAUAUCCAUUCGAACGGAUGGUCGUUGAAAUCGCGUUUUUAAUAAACGGGAUCAUUGUAGAGAGCUGAGAGAAAAUCUAUUGGAAAUUUCAAAGAGGGUUAUUAUAAGAGGAAUCGUGACGUAUCGUGAGGAAGGCUGGGGCCAGGCAAAAAGCCGAGGCACGUUCCCCGAGAUAUCGAUCGGGCGAACCAACCGCCGCGAGUAUUCCUUUGAGAACCGAUGCCACGAAAUAGACGAGGCUAAGUGGGCGAGAGAUAAAUUGAGAAUAAUACCCUCCCCACCCCUCCCGUUCCACCUUGUCGCCACGCGCCGCGUUUUUUCGCCAGAGAUCGCCACCUUCCUCGACCAAUUCCCCCACUCCUAAACAACUGUGCUCAACCCGAUUAUCCCACUCUCUACACUUUUCACUGGAUGGAAUCGCAUGGAAAAUUCAACGUAUCCUUUCUCUCUGUUUCUCUCUCUUUCUCCAGCGCAAUGGCAAUUUCUUUUUUUUUUCCGUCCAAGAGAGGAUAGUCCCUUCGGGGAACGAUUUAUCUUUAAUCAAGUUCCUAUUUACCAUCGAUCGCGAAUUACCGUUCCGUUUGUUUUACCCGCUCAUUUGUCCACUUCGAACCGCGGAUCAUUGGCGAAGAAGCAAGAAGAGAGUUCGCCCGAUCGAUUUUCACGUUUCUUCGUUCUUCGGUGAAGAAGGAUAUAUUCGUUUCGCGAAAAAAAUGGUAUAAAAAUUCAUCCUCUCUCCGCGGUGUAAACGUGUGUUUUAAUAUUCGAUCGAGGAUAUAUUUCGAGCAUUUCGUAACGCGGUCGUAAAUCGCGAACGAGAGGAGGGGGGAAGGGAACGAACAAUAGGAUCCCAGAGGAUCCGAUAAAGAGUCCGAAAACUGUGCAUAAAAAUUCACCCGCAAAAUUUAUCGAUAUUGGCCCCGGGACGAGUUCGACUCUUUCCGCAAAAAGUGUCCGCAAUCGCGCGUCUAGCUCGGUGAGCGUGUGAUAAAACUUUUUAAAAGAUUGUAAAGAGAAAGAGAGAGAGAGAGAGAAUAUAAUAAAGAUAAAAAAAAAAGGAAAGGAAAACUUUCUUCUCCUUUAAAUUACGAUCCCCCUUGAUUGUAUUUUCUCUGUUCGAGGAAGAAGAAAAAAAAAAGAAAGAAAUAAAGAGAGAUAUUCGGCGAGGUGGAUGACGACGAUCGGAGUUUCAUUCCCCACGUCAGAAUGGGGAACGUUCGUUUGAUAGAUUUCUGUGGCGUGCAGGGAGCAUCAAUCUAGGAGCAGGUGGCCAAACUAUUCGCCAACAGAUUAGCAAAAAUUUAUAUCGCUCGAUGCUAUUGUUUUAUCUUCCAUUGGCGGGGAUUUGACGCUCUGAACCGGCGGAAUAGUAUUUUUCUUCGUUAUUUUCGAAAAAAACGGGUGCGCGCGUUUUUCUCUCUCCCUCUCUCGCAUCUCCCUGCCCCCGCCCCACUCUAACCGCAAACAUACAGAGCAGCGCCAUUGGGAAGAUAUUUAUUCAUGAAUCCGAAAUUACACUGUAGCCGCGAUGCUUCCGUUUCGCACGAUCGGUUGAAAACUACCGUCGCGAUUCAGCGAAAGUUACAUACUCGGUUACGGCCCCUCGUAUUUCACCAUUUUUUUCCGGCCGAUUCUUUUCCUUUUUUCCCUUCUGUUUCUCUCUCCUUUUUUCACAACUCUCUUUCCGUCCCCCGAGAUGCAAAUAUUAAGGUUAUUCGAAUUGCAAAACGCGGAAUUGUGCGUACAAACAAAGAGAGAGAGAGAGGAAAAAAGGAAAACAAACAAACAGAAAAAAAGAAAAGAUUUCACAAAGAUCGAACGCGAUUCGAAAAACCACGCUGCCGCCCGUUUAUCGUUUCCGUCGUUUAUUUUCGAAACGCGUCAUUUUGCCACUGUUUCGUCGAAUGUAAACGACAGGAGAAACUGAGAGGAGAAAUACGCUCUCGAAUACGCAACGUGCACGCGAUAUGGUACGCAAUAAAGUUUAUAAAUAGGAUCGAUGACGCGAAUAUAUUUGUCGCGUGCGAAAAUAAUUUUUUGAUCCGGCAACGAUGUAAGCGACGUAUUAGGUUAUAGGCGUACGAGGCGUUGCCAAGUUUAGAAUACGAGACGACGAUCAACCGCCACUCGGUUGAAGUCUACUUAACCUGUGUAUAUAUAUUUUGCUCGGUGUAUCUUCGCGUUGUGCUUGUACGUCUUCUUUUUUUCUUUUCGAAAGCGAACGAAUUUAGAAUAUUAUUCCUGCGAAAGUAAUUUUUUGAUCCGGCAAACGACGUAAACGUUAGUGUUGUACCACACCAAGUUUUUAGAAUAUAAAAUUACAAUCAAGUGCGAUUCGUGAAACUCUAUUCAACCUGUAUAUUUUGCUUGGCGUAUUUUCGCGUCCCCCUCUUAUAUUUCUUUUUUCUGUAUUAUUUAACUGUUUUUUUUCUAAAGUGAACGAAUUCCUGUAUAUUAUUCCUGUACGAGUAUCGAAAUAUUAGCUUUCGAAGAAGAUUCUAUCGACUUUUUCGAUGGAGAGGUUAUGUAUUAUAAACCCGAUGCCCCGUAUUUUGAUCGAAUAAAGAUUAUAGUUUCGAAAACGUAUCGUUUCUCUCCCGAUCAACGAGAAACGGGCAAUUUCACGAGUGACACGAUCUAAUAUAAGAUAUUAAAAAAAAAAAAAAAAGAAAGAAAAAAAAGAAAUUCAUCGAUAGACGGCAAAUGAAAUAUCCAUUCUCCACAAAGAGUUUAAUCUACGUACAAAGAAUAAUAAUUUGAAGAAUUGAAGACAAUCACACGGAUCCGCAUUUACACGAUGUUCAUUUGGCGUGCGUGAACAGGUAGUCGAUAAUAAUACCGGCAGAGGGCGCUGCGAGCGUUCUCGAAGCAUAAAUUGACGGGGCAGCGCGACAGUCGGUUGAUACACCGCCGUAUUAUCGCUGGCCUAACAAUAUUUUUCGAUCGCGUUUUGCCCGCAUCGAGUCGCUUGCUCAGCUAGCGCCACCACAGCCAUGUAUCAAUUAUACGAACUUGCAUCUCGCGCACGAAUAAAUAGAAACACCGUGUGGCCAUGUGUGUUGGUGGCGAUAGCGGUGGUGGUAGUGGUGACAGAGCGCGCGACGAUCGCUACUUCGCCCAGCCCCCUUUCACGGAGAGAUUCGGAUGGAUUGGAUGGGUCGUGCGAUAAAACGACCUCACCGGGACCAUUCCGCGAUAGAUUGACCAAUAUGAUGGAUCGACCGCUCCGUUAUAUCCCGCUCCUCGGCCAUCCACUGGCCGAAUCCGAGCCACUACCAUCACGGAUUAGGAUUUCCAUCGAAAAGCCUCGAAAUUUUCACUUCCUUCCUUCCUUCCUUCCUCUCUUCUUCACGCGUGUUAAUAGCGUAAUAAAUUAAAUUCAUAUAGGUAUUAGUGUAUUUUUAGCACUGAAACGAGACGAAAUCUUGCGUGGCAUGCGAUACGAAAAUAUAUAUAUAUAUAUGUAUGUAUAUUUAUAUAUUCGGAGAAUGGUUGAUUUGUGCAACGUUUGUGAAGAUAUGAGAGGGGAGAGGGAAGAGAAACGGUUGAAUUUUUAGGGAUGUUUCAACUUGGACUUCGCCCAAUUACUUUGAAUACUUUUAACACGGGAUAAUUUUCGAAGCAACAGGUAUCCACGCGAGAAGUCAUAAUUUUGAUCGAACAAAGCACGGGUCGGAACAACGUGAAUGCACAAUAACGUACUUAUUUACGUUUUAUUUACGCGGCGAAAUAAUAGAAAUAGGAAUUUAACGAAUCGACAUUGUUCGACUACGAUCUUUUCGAAUCGAUCUCCACCGCGAGAUCCAAGCGAGGCAAAAAAAAAAAAGAAAAGAGAGAAAUUUCGAAAUCGCUUCUUGGCGAGCGUUUGAAUAAUUUCGACAAAGUCGACGAUCCGUAAUUAAACGAUGAAGCCUUUGUCGAGAGAAUAAACGGAAAUAUAUUAUUUUAAAAAAAAA